rnacentral:rRNA from 1 species
GAUGAACGCUGGCGGCGUGCCUAAUACAUGCAAGUCGAGCGAACGGACGAGAAGCUUGCUUCUCUGAUGUUAGCGGCGGACGGGUGAGUAACACGUGGAUAACCUACCUAUAAGACUGGGAUAACUUCGGGAAACCGGAGCUAAUACUGGAUAAUAUUUUGAACCGCAUGGUUCAAAAGUGAAAGACGGUCUUGCUGUCACUUAUAGAUGGAUCCGCGCUGCAUUAGCUAGUUGGUAAGGUAACGGCUUACCAAGGCAACGAUGCAUAGCCGACCUGCGAGGGUGAUCGGCCACACUGGAACUGAGACACGGUCCAGACUCCUACGGGAGGCAGCAGUAGGGAAUCUUCCGCAAUGGGCGAAAGCCUGACGGAGCAACGCCGCGUGAGUGAUGAAGGUCUUCGGAUCGUAAAACUCUGUUAUUAGGGAAGAACAUAUGUGUAAGUAACUGUGCACAUCUUGACGGUACCUAAUCAGAAAGCCACGGCUAACUACGUG